CACCGCUCUCGAAAGGCAUGAGCUACAAAAUUACUCACCGAGAUGUAGGAAAGGGAAGAGAAAGAUAAAUUUUGAGCACCUACGCUUCGUCUCACGGUAUCUCUUCGUGCCUGCGGUCAUGCCGCGGUCCACCCUCAAUCGCGUGCCGCAUCCCGCGGUCCCUACCUCGCCGGGCUCACCAGGGUCCACAUGGCUACCUCUCUACCCAGAUAGUCCCGACUCCCUACGACGGCCGCGCUCACAGCAAUCUCCGCCGCUGGCAACGCCGCGUUCCGGCGCCGGUGCGCUAGCCGGACCUCGACUCAGGCAGCACCGGCGGCCUACAGCGACCCGUUCAAAUCUAGAAUCUGAAGUAUCUCUUCGUUACUCCUAUUUGGCUACUCUGAAUUAGGAACUCUGUGCCGCUUUUCAGAUAAACUGAACAUGGUUAUGGGGACAUUAGUAAACACACAGGAUUGCAGCACAUUUCGAAAAAAGAUCGACAAAUAUGAGAAGAUGGGGAAAAGAACUAGUUAUCAUGGGGUGGAGAGAUAUUUCUUACAUAUCUUUCUUUUGUUCUUUGAGUGUGCCCCUGCAAAGUUUCAACAUUGGUGCUCAUCAGUAAUGGGUACAUAAAAGAUGCAUUAUUGAUACAAUGUAAAGCUUGCGCACUACAUAAUAUAACCUAUAGACUUUAUGACACACAUUUGAA